rnacentral:sRNA from 1 species
GUGCGCUGAGGAAGGCGCGGGCGAGCCGGAGCAGAAGAAGGAGGGAGGGAGCCAGCCGCUGCAGCCACCGCCGCCACCAUGUCCUACCAAGGCAAGAAGAACAUCCCGCGGAUCACGAGUGACCGUCUCCUUAUCAAGGGAGGCAGAAUCGUCAAUGAUGAUCAGUCCUUUUAUGCUGAUAUUUACAUGGAAGAUGGCUUAAUAAAACAAAUUGGAGACAAUCUGAUUGUUCCUGGAGGAGUGAAGACCAUCGAAGCCAAUGGGAAGAUGGUGAUCCCUGGAGGCAUCGAUGUCCAUACUCACUUCCAGAUGCCAUAUAAGGGAAUGACCACAGUAGAUGACUUCUUCCAAGGGACAAAGGGGUUAACUCCUUCAUGGUUUAUAUGGCUUAUAAGGAUUUGUAUCAAGUAUCUAACACAGAGCUCUAUGAGAUCUUCACCUGCCUGGGAGAGCUGGGGGCCAUUGCUCAAGUUCAUGCUGAGAAUGGGGAUAUCAUUGCCCAGGAGCAAACCCGCAUGUUGGAAAUGGGGAUAACUGGCCCAGAAGGCCAUGUACUGAGCAGGCCAGAAGAG